UAGGGAAUCUUCCGCAAUGGGCGAAAGCCUGACGGAGCAACGCCGCGUGAGUGAUGAAGGUCUUCGGAUCGUAAAACUCUGUUAUUAGGGAAGAACAAAUGUGUAAGUAACUAUGCACGUCUUGACGGUACCUAAUCAGAAAGCCACGGCUAACUACGUGCCAGCAGCCGCGGUAAUACGUAGGUGGCAAGCGUUAUCCGGAAUUAUUGGGCGUAAAGCGCGAGUAGGCGGUUUUUUCAGUCUGAUGUGAAAGCCCACGGCUCAACCGUGGAGGGUCAUUGGAAACUGGAAAACUUGAGUGCAGAAGAGGAAAGUGGAAUUCCAUGGGUAGCGGUGAAAUGCGCGGAGAUAUGGAGGAACACCAGUGGCGAAGGCGACUUUCUGGUCUGUAACUGACGCUGAUGUGCGAAAGCGUGGGGAUCAAACAGG
rnacentral:rRNA from 1 species